ensembl:snRNA U12 U12 minor spliceosomal RNA
AUGCCUUAAACUGAUGAGUAAGGAAAAUAACGACGCGGGGUGACGCCCGUGUCCUCGCCCAAAUUUGCGAGAGCAAUUUUUGAACGGGUACAGGUCUGCCUGCUAAGGUGACUCACCUACUUUGUGAGAUGCCUAACGGGAUAAGGAUCUGCCCG